UUCUUACCCCCCGAGAGAAAGCCAAGCACUUUGUUUAUCCUCCUUCAAGGAGGUGGAUUUUAUGAGUGUUGAGACAGGGGAGACUGUGGACUCACCACCACAGUCCCUCACCUAUGAGGAGCUUGUGGUGGUUGUGACUCAUGCUGUAGCCAAAUUAAAUAUCGAUUGGCCAGCUGAGAAACAGGACGCUCAUCCAAAAAGUAAAUUAGAUGAGCGUUUUCUGAGAUCGAGAUCACAGCCUUCACGAUGGGGCCUUCCGUUUUUCCCCGAUCUCCAUGCUGAGGUGUCAAGAUCGUGGGAGAAACCAUACUCAUCCCGUAUUUACUGCCCCACAGUUGCAAAUUAUUCCAACAUCGUGGGGCUGAAUGAUAAGAGAUAUGGGGCGAUGCCAGUGGUGGAGCAGAUGCUUGCGACCUAUCUCUCCCUAUCCUCAACAUCGUCCCUGAAGGCCCCGAAGCUUCCCACCAGGCCAGUUAGACUGACAUCGAGUCUGGUUGGGAAAGCUUAUAUGGCAGCAGGUCAGGCUGGUGCAUGUUUGCACACCAUGGCGGUGCUACAAGCAUACCAGGCUGACCUGCUCAGGGGCCUGGAUGACAGGGGGGAGGAGGAAUCCGACGUAGUAGCCAAACUGCAUCAGGCCACAGAUUUGACCCUCCGGGCCACCAAAGAAACGGCAAGAGCUAACGGACGUUCUAUGGCAGCUAUGGUGGCCAUGGAAUGGCGCCUGUGGUUGAAUCUUUCCAAAAUGCAAGAUAAGGACAGAUUCUUCCUCCUAGACUCUCUCCCCGCUCUUGCCACCAGGCCAGUUAGACUGACAUCGAGUCUGGUUGGGAAAGCUUAUAUGGCAGCAGGUCAGGCUGGUGCAUGUUUGCACACCAUGGCGGUGCUACAAGCAUACCAGGCUGACCUGCUCAGGGGCCUGGAUGACAGGGGGGAGGAGGAAUCCGACGUAGUAGCCAAACUGCAUCAGGCCACAGAUUUGACCCUCCGGGCCACCAAAG
rnacentral:lncRNA from 1 species